GACAGAGGGUGCAAACGUUGUUCGGAAUUACUGGGCGUAAAGCGUGUGUAGGCGGCUACGUAAGUCGGAUGUGAAAGCCCCAGGCUCAACCUGGGAAGUGCACUCGAUACUGCGUAGCUUGAGUAUCGGAGAGGUUGGUGGAAUUCUCGGUGUAGAGGUGAAAUUCGUAGAUAUCGAGAGGAACACCGGUGGCGAAGGCGGCCAACUGGACGAAUACUGACGCUGAGGAGCGAAAGCGUGGGGAGCGAACAGG
rnacentral:rRNA from 1 species